GAAGUGAAUCAGUUUCCCAGUAAAUUCUCCACUCCAAUCCCCACACAGGGAAAUAUUACUAUUUUUGAGGCACUCAUAUGCUUAAAGCCAAUGAAUUUUUAUAUCACCCCCUGGGAAUACCACUUGCUAGGACUUCUCCCUCCAUUUGUUUGACUUUUGAUCUAGUUUUUUUGUGCGUUGACAAGAGGUCCCAGGCCAACCAUUUAUCUUCUGCAGAAGUGCCUGGGAAUGCAAGGGAGGUGAUAACAUUCCUACAGCGGCUUUUGAAUUUGCAAGGUUUUCUGUCCUGAUGGUUUUUUUGUUUGGUGGUGGUGCUGC